GGUCUCCUGCCGUGUUCGUGUUAGGAAACAUUUGGAACAACCUAUGAGCCUGCAUUGGGAGCCGAAUUGGAUGGCCGCGGUCACGCCCGCUUAGACGGGAAGGCCAACGCCCUCCAGAGGCACCCCUUUAACAUGCGGGUUGAUUCCAACGUUCCUUACGGCACAAGGGUGGAAGGCCG
rnacentral:sRNA from 1 species